rnacentral:misc_RNA from 1 species
AAACUCUUCUCCUCCAAAUCGCGCUGCUACGUCUCCCGCUCGCAAUGCUCUCUUAAUGACACCUCCAAUUUCCUCCAAGGUCUGACUGCCAACGAGAUGACCAUAAGUGUCGUUGACUUCCUUGAAAUGAUCGACAUCCAUCAUCAAGACACAAAACGGAUGCGACUUAACCUCAGCCUGCGCAGCUUCUCGUCUCAGUUCAGAAAAGAACGACUUACUGGUCAGCAAGCCGGUUAGCUCGUCGUGCGAGAUCAAACGAUGUAUCUGCUGCUGAAACUCGCGAUCGAUUUCGUCGA